GCGGGGGUAGCCUAGCCAGGUCAGGCGCCAGCUUGAGGGGCUGGUCUCGAAGGAGUUCGGGGGUUCAAAUCCCCUCCCCCGCACCA
rnacentral:tRNA from 1 species